rnacentral:rRNA from 1 species
UACGUAGGGUGCGAGCGUUGUCCGGAAUUACUGGGCGUAAAGAGCUCGUAGGUGGUUUGUCGCGUUGUUCGUGAAAUCUCACGGCUUAACUGUGAGCGUGCGGGCGAUACGGGCAGACUAGAGUACUGCAGGGGAGACUGGAAUUCCUGGUGUAGCGGUGGAAUGCGCAGAUAUCAGGAGGAACACCGGUGGCGAAGGCGGGUCUCUGGGACGGUACUGACGCUGAGACGCGAAAGCGUGGGGAGCGAACAGG